UGAGUUCACAAAAUCUGGAGAGCUUUCUCUCUCGCUUUGCUCUCCAUGUAAGCCCGAGAGAAAUUCCAUGGAAACAUCACGCCUGCAAACGAAGUUGCAGGCCCACACACCAGCAAACUCCAUCUGAAAGCCAAAGAAUCCAAAGGUAAAUCCCUUCGAACUCUUCGAUUAUGAACAUCCAUCGUCUUCCACCUCAUCUUUUUCUUCUGUUGCUGCUUCAACCAGUAGCGAUACUUCAGGCGGUGCUGCUGCUGCUUCCGGCGAAACAUCACCACAGAACCACCACCAUUCACUCUGUUCUACUCAGGACACACAGUCAGUUCUAAAAUAUCCUGUCUUGCUGUGAUGGGUUAUCCAGUUCUUGCAUCGGGUCGUUCAAACGAGGCAUUCAGGAAGCGCUGGUCAUCAAAUUUUGGAGCUGUUGUGUGCAGCGUUAGUAGCCCUUUUGUGCUGAGGGAAACGGUGCUUUUUGUUUUCUGGAACCACUUGCAGAGCGCACACUUGAGAAUCUCAGACCGAAGGUAAAAGAUUGUAUUUGUUUUGGGAUCUAUAAAAGGAUAUUACAAGGAACAUAUCUUGGCUGUUGAUACCAUACUUGGAUUCUAAACUCUCCAAAGCUGCCUUCAUCUGGGUUAUUUUCUCAACAUUCUCUUUUUCGUGUACGGUUGGUUUCGUAUACCAUUGCAAGUGUUAAAUUUGUGAUUUGUUGUUUAUGUGGUGAAAAAAUAGGUUGCUAGAAUGAUUCAGAUUAUUUAUUUGUUACACGAAAAAAAACUUUUAGAACUCCCGGUAGAAAGAGAUUUCGCUAACGAAAAAGUCUUUUAUUUUUUUGUGAGACUUAAGAGGUUACCUUCUCCAAACGCAUAAAUGGACUUUUGAAGAAGGCUUUUGACCUCUCUAUCCUCUACGAUGCUGAAGUUGCCCUCAUGAUCAUCUUCUCUCCCUCUGGCAUGGCCUGCCAAUUUGCAAGC